rfam:Merops nubicus contig103505, whole genome shotgun sequence.
CCAACGGCUCUUUUAAGAGCCACCCAAAUUUUCCUAUAAGAGCUG